rnacentral:lncRNA from 1 species
UCAUAAGAAAGUGGUGUCAUAGGGAUACAUACAGGAAGUGCUAUGAACAUGCAAUUCAGCCUCUACCCGGAGUGAAGUUCUGGACAGUGAAAUAGGAGGAUGCAAUUGAGCCUCCACCAGUUAAAAAGAAGGUAGGAAGGCCAAAGAAGAACAGAGUGAGAACUCCUAAUGAGCCAAAACUGAAACACAAACUCUCAAGAAAGGGGAAGAUUCAACAUUGCAGCCUUUGUGGAAGUACAAGCCACAAGAAGGAUGCAUGUUCUCAAAGGCCUGCACGUGUAUGAAUGAAUUCACCUAUAAACUUAAAUAAGCCAGUUUAUUAUAUACCUAAUGAAUUUGUGUUUAAUGAGUGUAGUUAAGUAAGAGUUCACAGGCUUCUACAUCUUCAAAGCCAAGAAGGAACAUGCCAAGAAGAGGCUCACAGGCUGGGAUAGGUCUUUAUGUCAACGUUGACACUGGAAAACAAAUCCUAAAUGAAAGUUUCAACAUUGCUGCCUUUAUAACACUGAAUUUUUCAUGUAAUAUUAUACUAAAUACGUGUUCUUUGGUUGAUUUCACAGCCCGGAGGAUCCCAAUCAGUUGUAAUAGAUGAAGGCACACCAAGGGAUGGUGAUCCAAACAUGAGAUUUCUUAUACCAAAUGAAGCUAAGAUUAGGAAGGAAAAGAGAAAGAGAGGCCCAACCACUUCAAUUGGAGGGACCUUAAAAGUGAAGAAGUUUGCACCAAAGCCAUUCAAGGCUCCAAGAGGAAAGACAAAAGAUGAGAAGCAAGAACUCAUCCUCAGAAGAUCACCUAAAGGAAAAAAUGACAACUGUUGGUUCUACAAUUA